UACGGGGGGGGCAAGCGUUGUUCGGAAUUACUGGGCGUAAAGGGCGCGUAGGCGGCCUGCUAAGUCGGAUGUGAAAUCCCUCGGCUCAACCGAGGAACUGCAUCCGAUACUGGCGGGCUUGAAUCCGGGAGAGGGAUGUGGAAUUCCAGGUGUAGCGGUGAAAUGCGUAGAUAUCUGGAGGAACACCGGUGGCGAAGGCGGCAUCCUGGACCGGUAUUGACGCUCAGGCACGAAAGCGUGGGGAGCAAACAGG
rnacentral:rRNA from 1 species